GAUGAACGCUGGCGGCGUGCUUAACACAUGCAAGUCGAGCGAGGGAAUCUCUUCGGAGAGGAACUAGCGGCGGACGGGUGAGUAACACGUGGGCAACCUGCCUUACAGAGGGGGAUAGCCUUCCGAAAGGAAGAUUAAUACCGCAUAUUAUGGGUUUUCUGCAUGGAGAAUUCAUGAAAGGAGUAAUCCGCUGUAAGAUGGGCCCGCGGCGCAUUAGCUAGUUGGUGAGGUAACGGCUCACCAAGGCGACGAUGCGUAGCCGACCUGAGAGGGUAAUCGGCCACAUUGGGACUGAGACACGGCCCAGACUCCUACGGGAGGCAGCAGUGGGGAAUAUUGCACAAUGGGGGAAACCCUGAUGCAGCAACGCCGCGUGAGUGAAGACGGCCUUCGGGUUGUAAAGCUCUGUCUUCAGGGACGAUAAUGACGGUACCUGAGGAGGAAGCCACGGCUAACUACGUGCCAGCAGCCGCGGUAAUACGUAGGUGGCGAGCGUUAUCCGGAUUUACUGGGCGUAAAGGAUGCGUAGGUGGAAUUUUAAGUGGGAUGUGAAAUACCCGGGCUCAACCUGGGAACUGCAUUCCAAACUGGGAUUCUAGAGUGCAGGAGAGGAAAGCGGAAUUCCUAGUGUAGCGGUGAAAUGCGUAGAGAUUAGGAAGAACACCAGUGGCGAAGGCGGCUUUCUGGACUGUAACUGACACUGAGGCAUGAAAGCGUGGGGAGCAAACAGG
rnacentral:rRNA from 1 species